rnacentral:rRNA from 1 species
CCGGCACGGGUGAGUAACACGUAUCCAACCUGCCGUCUACUCUUGAACAGCCUUCUGAAAGGAAGAUUAAUACAAGAUGGCAUCAUGAGUUCACAUGUUCACAUGAUUAAAGGUAUUCCGGUAGACGAUGGGGAUGCGUUCCAUUAGUUUGUUGGCGGGGUAACGGCCCACCAAGACUACGAUGGAUAGGGGUUCUGAGAGGAAGGUCCCCCACAUUGGAACUGAGACACGGUCCAA